rnacentral:rRNA from 1 species
GAGACAGCAGUAGCCACGGGAAUACAGAGGGUGCGAGCGUUAAUCGGAUUUACUGGGCGUAAAGCGUGCGUAGGCGGCUAAUUGAGUCGGAUGUGAAAUCCCCGAGCUUAACUUGGGAAUUGCAUUCGAUACUGGUUAGCUAGAGUGUGGGAGAGGAUGGUAGAAUUCCAGGUGUAGCGGUGAAAUGCGUAGAGAUCUGGAGGAAUACCGAUGGCGAAGGCAGCCAUCUGGCCUAACACUGACGCUGAGGUACGAAAGCAUGGGGAGCAAACAGGAUUAGAUACCCCGGUAGUCCCUGUCUCUUAUAC